CUGCAUAGCGGCAUCUCCUGAAUUUGGAGCUGUCAGGGCUGGGAACACAAAUUAUUUCCCAGACAAUCAGAAUGGUCUGUAGAUGUUCUGAAGUGAGAAACUUGUUUGCUAACCACCCUUCUCUACAGGACUGUCAAGGAGCUCAGGAAACGAGGCUGGCUGCUGAAACAAAAAUGGUGUUUACAGGCAAGUAAUGGCCUUUGGGUUUUGUGAUGUCAGUGAGAAAAUAAUGCAGCUCUACUCUUCCUGUGGGUGAAACAGAAAAUCAAAGGCGAAACAGCACAACGUAUGGUACAGAAAUUACGUAUAGCACCAGGACAACAUGUAAGAAAACUGGCAGAAAAGGGCUUCCAUGGAUACCAUGGAUAUCAUUAUCCUGAAAACACUUAAGGAUAAGGGGUUGGUUCUUGAAAAUGGCUGAGGCACUGAAAAAUGGGUGGAACAAUCCAUACUUGAUUCAGCUUCUUCUGUAAGUGGGGCAGCUGUGCUCAAUGUUGCCACCUCCUGCCAGGUUUCCUUUAUAUCAGAGAAUCGAGAUGUGCUCACAGAAUAUUUGACUUCAGUACAAAUAUAUUACUUUCUUCUUGAAUAUGUGACUUUCUCCUUUUAUAAAGAUGUAUAUACAUCCUGAUGCACGUACUAUGCACUUUUACCAGACAGACAUUCUGUUUAUUUCUGGAUUUCAGCCCAUGUAUAAAUUAAUCUGCCUUUAUCCCUAUUUCUCAAGAGAUGUACGUAGCUGUCCAUAUACUAGCAUUUAUCUUUCUGGUUAGUGCCACUGUGUGGAUAAUACAUCACUAGAGCAGUGGUGCUAGUUAUGAUGUAUGACACCAACAUAUCAUAAAAGCAUUGCCACUUCUGUGAUGUAUUAUUCAAAACAUGGAAUUAAACAGAAAGAUCAAUAUAAUACAGGCCCUUAAUUUUUUAAGGUGGGUUAGAAGCUUUCAGAUUAAAGAGUUUAGGCGCCAGAAGGUUAACAUAAAGGCUCAAUACACAAAAGAAACAAAUGUGGAUAACUUUUAUUGCAUUUAUGACCCAGUUUGUACCAAAAAAAGAUUCCUUCCGUGGCCAGUGAAACUUUUCAGGUUUCCUACAUGUUUCAAUACCGCUCUGUACUCAGCAGCAAAACAACCUUCUUCUAGAGUAUCUUCCACAAAAUGCUGUUUCCACUGAUGUCACAUCAGCCAGUUCCCUCAGUUCCCUCUCAGAUCCUGGACCAUCACCUGGCAACUCCUGCUGCACCCAACUCUGAGCGACCUGAGGAUGGUACUCUCAUCCCUGUUGAUCAGCUGCCUAAAGUGCUGAGCAGGGCAGAUAAUGGUAGAAAGAGACUAUUUCUUACUCGGCUGUAAUGGAAUGACCAACAGUUUCUUGGAAUAGAUCUUUCCUUUUGAGGAUCCGUGAUGGAUUCUCCAGUUCUUCUCACACUUCAUAGACACAGCCUGGAGUUCUUGGAAUACGCGAAGACAUUUUUCUGGGUUUUGGUCUCUUUUGUAAAAUGAGGCUUUUUAGCCAAAGUGAACUACAUCCAAUUUCCAUUACCACUUUUCCCAGAAGAGGUGGAUUCUAUGAAGUGUUGGUGGGAAACAGCUGGAGGGACAGACGACUUGCCUCUCUGAUGUCACUGCCAAGAAGAGUUCAAUCAGGUUUGAAACAACAACCAGUUUCAGAAUUUUGAAGACUCUUGAAAACCACUAAUUGCACUCAAAGAGAGACAUAUAAGUCCUUAAAAUGAAAUACGGAAAACAAGUUCCCAUGGAGCAUUCUGCCUUUAGAAGCAUUUCCAACACUGAAUAGAAAGUGGCAUUACAUGACAGAAUAAGGACAUUUGGUGGACCAGUAGAGAUUCUUCUGCAGAAGGGCAAGGCCGAAUACUUCUGCACCUCUGCUUGACCAGGUUCUUCAGGUCAUGAAUUAGAGACGUUAUACCUCCGCACUCGCACAUGACAUUUUCAGACUGGUAUGUUGUCUUUUGCAAUGGCCCACAUCAUUGUAUCCCAUGUAAUUUUUUUCCUUUCAUUGUUCACAGUCUUAGUCCGUUCCAGUUUAAAAACACCGCAUAAAUGAGAUAUGAGACUAAGCGUAGCAAGCACAUUAAACUUAUAUUUAAAAAUUGAUUUUGCCUGGAAUUAUGAAUAUGUAGUAUAUUAACUAAAGUGCCACAAAUUUCUUUUAACUAUUAUCUUUUGUAAUGAUGUGACUUAGAAUUUACUUUCUAAGAAAUUUUCAUGAAUACAAAGUGUUCAUCUUCAAA